rnacentral:misc_RNA from 1 species
UAGGGAGACCUAAUCCAUUUAGAAAUCGAAAACAAUGAAAAUUGUCAAUAGAAACUAAAUUGGUCUAACCUAGGUCGUUCGAGAUUGGUAGACAUCUUUCAAAGUAUUAUUCGGCUUCGUUCAAAACCAUAUAUAAUAAAUGGAAAAAGACAGCACCUAAUUGUCAAAGUUAGACUGCAGGAUGAAGUUCCAGCCAGAACCUUGAAAACUGCAUAAGAGAACAAGAAAAAGCAGGCAGACACAGACAUUUAGAUGGAUGUGGAAGCAAAAGAAAUUGU